UUUAAAUGUAUUCAUGGGUUUUUAUAUCCAGAUCAUCUAUCUUAUUUAAUUUUUUUAUUAUUAGUAUUUUUAUUGUUAUUACACGAUAAAACAUGAUAAUAGUUUAUACGUGAUUUAUUUUUUAUAAAUUUUUUCAUAAAUUUUUUAAAUAAGACGGACGAUCAAACGUUGGGUAUAGAAACCCACAACUGCGCUUAAA
rfam:Oryza meridionalis cultivar OR44 (W2112) chromosome 8, whole genome shotgun sequence.